rnacentral:rRNA from 1 species
UACGAAGGGGGCGAGCGUUGUUCGGAAUUACUGGGCGUAAAGGGCGCGCAGGCGGCUCAGACAGUCAGAUGUGAAAGCCCCGGGCUUAACCUGGGAACUGCAUUUGAUACUACUGAGCUUGAGUACGGGAGAGGAUAGUGGAAUUCCCAGUGUAGAGGUGAAAUGCGUAGAUAUCGGGAGGAACACCUGUGGCGAAAGCGGCUCACUGGACCGCAACUGACGCUGAGGCGCGAAAGCUAGGGGAGCAAACAGG